rnacentral:rRNA from 1 species
CUACGGGGCGCUGCAGUGGGGAAUAUUGCACAAUGGGCGCAAGCCUGAUGCAGCCAUGCCGCGUGUAUGAAGAAGGCCUUCGGGUUGUAAAGUACUUUCAGCGGGGAGGAAGGGAGUAAAGUUAAUACCUUUGCUCAUUGACGUUACCCGCAGAAGAAGCACCGGCUAACUCCGUGCCAGCAGCCGCGGUAAUACGGAGGGUGCAAGCGUUAAUCGGAAUUACUGGGCGUAAAGCGCACGCAGGCGGUUUGUUAAGUCAGAUGUGAAAUCCCCGGGCUCAACCUGGGAACUGCAUCUGAUACUGGCAAGCUUGAGUCUGGUAGAGGGGGGUAGAAUUCCAGGUGUAGCGGUGAAAUGCGUAGAGAUCUGGAGGAAUACCGGUGGCGAAGGCGGCCCCCUGGACGAAGACUGACGCUCAGGUGCGAAAGCGUGGGGAGUAAACAGGAUUAGAUACCCUUGUAGUC